GACGGCCUUCGGGUUGUAAACCUCUUUCAGCAGGGAAGAAGCGAAAGUGACGGUACCUGCAGAAGAAGCGCCGGCUAACUACGUGCCAGCAGCCGCGGUAAUACGUAGGGCGCAAGCGUUGUCCGGAAUUAUUGGGCGUAAAGAGCUCGUAGGCGGUCUGUCGCGUCUGGUGUGAAAUCCCAUGGCUCAACUGUGGGCUUGCAUCGGGUACGGGCAGACUAGAGUGCUGUAGGGGAGACUGGAAUUCCUGGUGUAGCGGUGGAAUGCGCAGAUAUCAGGAGGAACACCGAUGGCGAAGGCAGGUCUCUGGGCAGUUACUGACGCUGAGGAGCGAAAGCAUGGGGAGCGAACAGGAUUAGAUACCCUGGUAGUCCAUGCCGUAAACGUUGGGCACUAGGUGUGGGGCGGGUUCCACUCGUUCUGUGCCGCAGCUAACGCAUUAAGUGCCCCGCCUGGGGAGUACGGCCGCAAGGCUAAAACUCAAAGGAAUUGACGGGGGCCCGCACAAGCGGCGGAGCAUGCGGAUUAAUUCGAUGCAACGCGAAGAACCUUACCAAGGCUUGACAUGUACGAGAACGCGUUAGAGAUAACGAACUCUUUGGACACUCGUACACAGGUGGUGCAUGGUUGUCGUCAGCUCGUGUCGUGAGAUGUUGGGUUAAGUCCCGCAACGAGCGCAACCCUUAUCCUAUGUUGCCAGCGGGUC
rnacentral:rRNA from 1 species